rnacentral:misc_RNA from 1 species
CUUUUUGAUGCUAAUAUAUUGACUCUUUUAUCAGAAGUUUUGUCUGCAAUUUUCGCUGAAGUUAUGCAAGGAAAACCUGAGUUUACAGAUCAUUUGACACACAAAUUAAAGCAUCAUCCUGGACAGAUUGAAGCUGCAGCUAUUAUGGAACACAUUUUGGAUGGAAGUUCAUACGUUCAGGAAGCAAAGAAAUUACAUGAAAUGGAUCCCCUGCAGAAGCCUAAGCAGGAUCGGUACGCUCUUCGCACUUCACCACAAUGGUUAGGUCCACAAAUUGAAGUGAUUCGAUCAUCAACCAAGUCAAUUGAAAGGGAGAUUAAUUCGGUGAAUGAUAAUCCACUGAUCGAUGUGUCAAGGAACAAAGCCUUGCACGGAGGGAAUUUCCAGGGCACUCCAAUUGGUGUUUCAAUGGAUAACACUAGAUUGGCAUUAGCUUCCAUAGGGAAACUCAUGUUUGCUCAAUUCUCUGAGCUGGUUAAUGAUUUCUACAAUAAUGGUUUGCCUUCAAAUCUCACAGGAGGAAGGAAUCCUAGCUUGGAUUAUGGUUUUAAGGGUGCUGAGAUAGCCAUGGCAGCCUAUUGCUCUGAGCUCCAAUACCUUGCGAACCCUGUUACAAACCAUGUCCAAAGUGCUGAGCAGCAUAAUCAAGAUGUCAACUCAUUAGGGCUGAUUUCUUCAAGGAAAACAGCAGAAGCAGUUGAUAUCUUGAAGCUCAUGUCCUCAACUUU